AUGAGGACAGGAUCAGCGCGCUCCCCGACGAACUCCUCCUCCGAAUCCUCCAGCGCCUCGACCUGCCCGAGGCGGUCCGCGCCGGCGCACUCUCCACGCGCUGUGCGCCGGCGGCACCUCCCUCACCAGCUCUCGGUCCUGAUAUUCCAGAUCCACCACUUCCGCGGCGCCACGCCGGUCCAGACCAUGGACGCGUUCACUGCCGCUUUGCUCUCCGUGUGUGCUCCGGCCGAGCGCAGCUGUGAAUGCCAGCACAGCCGCGCCAUCAAGGUCAUCGGCCUAUGCUUCUACCUGUCGGCCCCUCACCUGAGCUCCAUCGGCAGCGCCGUCGAUGGUGUCGUCAGCCGUGGCAAGACAAAACGCAUCGAAUUUCGAAUAUCCCCGCCACCCACGGACAACACUGCCCUGCAGCUCACCGAGUUUGGGCAGCAAUUCAUGUCCUUCUUCCGCGCCUACCAGGUCACCUUCCGGUGGCUCACGAGGUUACGACUCAAGAGCCUUGCAUUCGGGGACUCCGACAUCACCGACCUCAUUAGGGCUUGCGAUAAGCUCAGGUUUUUCAACAUGAGAUUCUGCAGACUGGUUAAUCAUGGCUCUGCGCUAAAGAUUGACACCCCGUGUUCUGGGCUCCAGGAGCUUGAGUUUAUGCACUUUCUGUGCAAGGAGAUUGAGCUCAUCUGCGUCCCCAAGCUAAGGACAGUGUUGUGCCAUUCUUGGUUCUACAAGAACCCUCCGCUGCGCCUUGGCUACGUUCCAGAGCUUCGCAAAAUCAGUCUCGAUUGUGAGGCCAAGGUGUGGCCGGUGCCAUUCCUGCUGAGUGAGUGCUUGUCAAGCAGUGCAAUGAACCUGUUGAAAUUGCAUCUCAAUUUUCGCCACAAAAUGAUAUGGAUUCAGCCGGAACAUCCGAAGCAGCUCACUGCUAUAUUCAGAAAUCUGUCCGAUGUGUCCCUUCUGGUAUCUUCCAUGAGUGUGAUCUGA
rnacentral:rRNA from 1 species